rnacentral:rRNA from 1 species
UACGUAGGUGGGCAAGCGUUGUCGGAAUUAUUGGGCGUAAAGCGCGCGCAGGCGGUCCUUUAAGUCUGAUGUGAAAGCCCACGGCUCAACCGUGGAGGGUCAUUGGAAACUGGGGGACUUGAGUGCAGAAGAGGAAAGCGGAAUUCCACGUGUAGCGGUGAAAUGCGUAGAGAUGUGGAGGAACACCAGUGGCGAAGGCGGCUUUCUGGUCUGUAACUGACGCUGAGGCGCGAAAGCGUGGGGAGCAAACAGG